rnacentral:lncRNA from 1 species
UAAUAUAUAGAGUAUAUUGAGUCCGGCUGGAGUGCUUCUACUAACACUAGCAAUUGGUGUUAUCAAACUUUUCACUGUUAUAUUUAUCUUUUUAAUCAUUUCUAUCUGUUAGAUUAUACUAUUCAAUCAACCACCCAUUCUAGGGUUCAAUCAAUCGCUCAUUCAACCCUAGAAGAUCACCAUCAUCCUAACCGUAUAUAUCUUCAUCCAAGAGUCCAAAAUCUUAUAUCACGAAUGACUUAGUGCUGUUAGAAGCAUUCCAGUAUAAUUCAUAGUAUAUAAAUUAUAAACAAUAUUGAUUGAUCAACUAGAUUGAAUUGAUUCACCUUUGUU